rnacentral:rRNA from 8 species
AAAUUGAAGAGUUUGAUCAUGGCUCAGAUUGAACGCUGGCGGCAGGCCUAACACAUGCAAGUCGAACGGUAACAGGAAGCAGCUUGCUGCUUUGCUGACGAGUGGCGGACGGGUGAGUAAUGUCUGGGAAACUGCCUGAUGGAGGGGGAUAACUACUGGAAACGGUGGCUAAUACCGCAUAACGUCGCAAGACCAAAGAGGGGGACCUUCGGGCCUCUUGCCAUCAGAUGUGCCCAGAUGGGAUU